AGUGAGAUAGCAGGGUCAAAUGGUGGUUCCAUUCCAAGUUUUCUGAGGAAUCUCCAUACUGCUUUCCAUAGUGGUGGUUCCAAUUUGCAGUCCCAUCAGCAAU
rnacentral:pre_miRNA from 1 species